AGCAGCCGCGGUAAUUCCAGCUCCAAUAGCGUAUAUUAAAGUUGUUGCAGUUAAAAAGCUCGUAGUUGAAUUUCGGGGUUCUACCGUUGGUCGGGCUAUUGUCUGUACUGGCGUGUAGAAUUUCUACCUUCUGGGGAACUAUCAUGUUAUUAAUUUAGCGUGGUAGGAAACCAGGACCUUUACCUUGAAAAAAUUAGAGUGUUUAAAGCAGGCUUACGUCUGAAUACAUUAGCAUGGAAUAAUAAAAUAGGACGGUGGUCCUGUUUUGUUGGUUUCUGAAUCACCGUAAUGAUUAAUAGGGAUAGUUGGGGGCAUUAGUAUUCAAUUGUCAGAGGUGAAAUUCUUGGAUUUAUUGAAGACUAACUACUGCGAAAGCAUUUGCCAAGGAUGUUUUCAUUAAUCAAGAACGAAAGUUAGGGGAUCGAAGACGAUCAGAUACCGUCGUAGUCUUAACCAUAAACUAUGCCGACUAGGGAUCGGAUGAUGUUAAUUUUUAAUGACUCAUUCGGCGCCUUACGGA
rnacentral:rRNA from 1 species